GUUAGCAGAAAGUGGCGAACGGGUGAGUAACGCGUGGGUAAUCUACCCUGUUUAGUGGGGGAUAACCCUCCGAAAGGAGGGCUAAUACCGCAUAAUAUCUUCUCCUCUAAAGAGAAGAAGAUUAAAGAUGGCCUCUAUACUAUGCUAUCGCUUCAGGAUGAGCCCGCGUCCUAUUAGUUAGUUGGUGGGGUAAUGGCCUACCAAGACCACAAUGGGUAGCCGGUCUGAGAGGAUGUACGGCCACACUGGGACUGAGAUACGGCCCAAACUCCUACGGGAGGCAGCAGUGGGGAAUAUUGCGCAAUGGGGGAAACCCUGACGCAGCGACGCCGCGUGGAUGAUGAAGGCCUUUGGGUUGUAAAAUCCUGUUCUGGGGGAAGAAAGCUUAAGGGUCCAAUAAACCCUUAAGUCUGACGGUACCCCAAGAGAAAG
rnacentral:rRNA from 1 species